rnacentral:rRNA from 1 species
GUAGGGAAUAUUGCACAAUGGAGGAAACUCUGAUGCAGCGACGCCGCGUGAGUGAUGAAGGCCUUCGGGUCGUAAAGCUCUGUCGCAGGGGAAUAACACAAUGAAGGUACCCUGUAAGAAAGGAUCGGCUAACUUCGUGCCAGCAGCCGCGGUAAGACGAGGGAUCCUAGCGUUGUUCGGAAUCAUUGGGCGUAAAGCGGAUGUAGGUGGCUAUGUAAGUCAGAUGUGAAAGCCUGGGGCUCAACCCCAGAAGUGCAUUUGAUACUGCGUAGCUUGAGUGUCGGAGAGGUUACUAGAAUUGUUGGUGUAGUGGUGAAACACGUAGAUAUCAACAGGAAUACCGGAGGCGAAGGCGGGUAACUGGCCGAACACUGACACUGAGAUCCGAAAGCGUGGGGAUCAAACAGGAUUAGAAACCCUGGUAGUCC